rnacentral:rRNA from 1 species
GCGGCGGACGGGUGAGUAACACGUGGGUAACCUGCCUGUAAGACUGGGAUAACUCCGGGAAACCGGGGCUAAUACCGGAUGGUUGUUUGAACCGCAUGGUUCAGACAUAAAAGGUGGCUUCGGCUACCACUUACAGAUGGACCCGCGGCGCAUUAGCUAGUUGGUGAGGUAACGGCUCACCAAGGCGACGAUGCGUAGCCGACCUGAGAGGGUGAUCGGCCACACUGGGACUGAGACACGGCCCAGACUCCUACGGGAGGCAGCAGUAGGGAAUCUUCCGCAAUGGACGAAAGUCUGACGGAGCAACGCCGCGUGAGUGAUGAAGGUUUUCGGAUCGUAAAGCUCUGUUGUUAGGGAAGAACAAGUGCCGUUCAAAUAGGGCGGCACCUUGACGGUACCUAACCAGAAAGCCACGGCUAACUACGUGCCAGCAGCCGCGGUAAUACGUAGGUGGCAAGCGUUGUCCGGAAUUAUUGGGCGUAAAGGGCUCGCAGGCGGUUUCUUAAGUCUGAUGUGAAAGCCCCCGGCUCAACCGGGGAGGGUCAUUGGAAACUGGGGGAACUUGAGUGCAGAAGAGGAGAGUGG